GCCUACGGGGGGCAGCAGUAGGGAAUUUUCGUCAAUGGGCGCAAGCCUGAACGAGCAAUGCCGCGUGAACGAGGAAGGUCUUCGGAUCGUAAAGUUCUGUUGAAGGGGAAAAAGAGCGGAGAGAGGAAAUGGUCUCCGAUUGAUAUUACCCUUCGAGGAAGUCACGGCUAACUACGUGCCAGCAGCCGCGGUAAUACGUAGGUGGCGAGCGUUAUCCGGAAUGAUUGGGCGUAAAGGGUGCGUAGGCGGCCUGCUAAGUCUGGAGUGACAGGUACCGGCUCAACCGGUACAGGCUCUGGAAACUG
rnacentral:rRNA from 1 species